AUGGGAAUGGAAAGCAAAGAAAGGGAGCUGAGAGCUUUGCUAAGUGAGCUGUGGACACAUGGAACUGACUGCGAGCAAAUGGACUGGAAGUCUACGGAGUUUUUGAUGGAGUUCUACUGCCAAGGAAAUCAAGGUAAUUAUUUGCUUCACUGUCUUUUCCAUUUCAAAUCCACUUGGUUUGCUGAAGAUAAUUCAGGUUUUCCCUCCGCUCCUGACAAUGCUUUGCUACACCUUUUCCUGUGCUUUCGACACAUACUAGAUUUAGAAUUUUUGGUGGCAAUGAUAAAAUUGUGGUUAAAGUUUCUUUCAGUAGCAAAGUGAAAUGGAUCUCUUAUUGAUUUCUUCCAAUAUCAAGGAUUUUGCACACAUAUAAAAUUGGUUUAUGCUCUUGCAUAAUGGAUGAACAUGUAUCAUCUAAUUGCUUCGGAAAUGUAAAUAUUAGCUAUUCUUUCUUAGACACCACUACUCACCGUUGUAAUCAGCCUGUUUGACCACUGUGUUUCCUUUAUUGGUGUGAGAGACUUUGAAAUGACUUUUUAUCUUGUCCUCAUUUAACUCACGCACUUUCACGUGUCUUUGGCAUGUGACACACCAUGACUUUGGGAGCUAAGGUGACUCUGGUUGGCACAAUAUGCAGGGUACAGGGAAGAACCCCAGGUGUUUGAUGGAAACUUCCCAUCAGUGAAGCGAAUGUGGAUACAUGUGACCUCCCACCCCAGCUGUGUGUCUGGCUGGACUGUGGGCCUCGGAAGGAAACUGAGCAGGGUGGGACUUUACUUCUGUUCUGGCGCCUCAAGGCUUCAAGUUUCCCUCUUUCAACACUGGAAAUGAUGGUAACAACACCUCAACAUAAGGAAUUGAAGAUCAAGUCUGACUCGACACUUCUUUUGGAGAUACCAAUACCUGUAGCGAUCCCCUGGGACACCUCAAGAGACAGUGUAAGACAUCCCUGAAUGAUGGUGUCAGGCAGAGCAGGAGUCGAGGUGAUUAUCAACCAACGCCUGUCUUCCACUGGCUGUGGAGGUGAGGAAGGGCCCCUGGGGGUGCGUCAUCACCUCCGUCUCCCUGCAUGAGCCGGCAGGCCUCUGUGGCCAGGAAAAGCUCUCAGGCAGAGAGGCAUAGGACAGGGGGAGAGUGUGGAAACUGCCCGCCAAGAUGCAGGUGGCAUCCAGGGUCAGGGGAGAGACCUGGGUAGGCGCUGGUCAUAUCUGCCCCCACAGUGAAGAGAGAGAGCCCAUCAGAAGCAGGAAAGGAUGGGAUAGAUGUGCCAUGUGCCCUCUGAAUGGUGGGAGUUAGUUGCUGAACCCACUGGGCUGAGUGCACAUGGCUAGACCCUGCCUUAGAUGUCCGAGUCCUGGCCAGGCAGAACCUUCUUUUGCUUGCUUAGUCCAGUUCAGAUGGAUUUCUGUUCCUCACACCCCAGAGUCUGAUCAGGAAGAACAUUGUUAAGAUUUAAUGCACGAAAACAUUUAUUUGUGAAACUUGACUGAGUGCUGACUGUGUGCAGGCCAGUGAUGGGGAAACAAACGUUGAUAAAAUACAGGAAUCAUCUGGAGUUGCGUACACUGUGUAGAGCUGUUUAAACCCAAGACUGCUAUUAAUCCUAUAGAAAAGGAUGAGAUUUUAAAAUACAAAGAAAUUAUUUGACAUGUGUUUGAAAUUCAGAUGUAUAUAUUAGCUUCCUUGAAAAGGAGCACACCUAGAACAGAGCGUACUUAUUGCUCCACAGAGAGCACCGUGAUGCUGAUUCCCGCCUGGUUCAGAGCGGUCUCUGGAUGUAGGCCGUGGGCCGCAGGCUCUGCGCCACCUUCUGUCACCCUUUAUGGAAGGUUCUUAGAAGCAUGUUUUCUGCUGCCUGUCAUCAAGCUUGACUUUCUGCAUCUGGGUGAAUUGACCCUGAAAUUAACCAAGAGGAAUAUUCUGAUUUUGAUAUUUUUAUCCCUUCUUUCACCAUAACCCCAGAAAUUAUUAAAUUUCACCAAGAAAGGUAAUAUUUCUUUUGGACAUACGUUCACCUUUCUCUAGAAACAUUGUUCUAAAUAUUUAACCUACAAUAUGUUUGCUACAGUUUAAAUAAAUUUUAAUUUCUUAAUUGUUAAUGUUCUUCU
rnacentral:lncRNA from 13 species